rnacentral:rRNA from 1 species
AACGAACGCUGGCGGCAUGCCUAACACAUGCAAGUCGAACGAGACCUUCGGGUCUAGUGGCGCACGGGUGCGUAACGCGUGGGAACCUGCCCUUAGGUUCGGAAUAACUCCCCGAAAGGGAUGCUAAUACCUGAUAAUGUCUUCGGACCAAAGAUUUAUCGCCCUUGGAUGGGCCCGCGUUGGAUUAGCUGGUUGGUAGGGUAAAAGCCUACCAAGGCGACGAUCCAUAGCUGGUCUGAGAGGGUGAUCAGCCACACUGGGACUGAGACACGGCCCAGACUCCUACGGGAGGCAGCAGUGGGGAAUAUUGGACAAUGGGCGAAAGCCUGAUCCAGCAAUGCCGCGUGAGUGAUGAAGGCCUUAGGGUUGUAAAGCUCUUUUACCCGGGAUGAUAAUGACGGUACCGGGAGAAUAAGCCCCGGCUAACUCCGUG